AUUGAACGCUGGCGGCAGGCUUAACACAUGCAAGUCGAGCGGGGAAAGGUAGCUUGCUACCUGACCUAGCGGCGGACGGGUGAGUAAUGCUUAGGAAUCUGCCUAUUAUUGGGGGACAACAUCCCGAUAGGGAUGCUAAUACCGCAUACGUCCUACGGGAGAAAGCAGGGGACCUUCGGGCGUUUCGCCAAUAUAUGAGCCUAAGUCGGAUUAGCUAGUUGGUGGGGUAAAGGCCUACCAAGGCGACGAUCUGUAGCGGGUCUGAGAGGACGAUCCGCCACGCUGGGACGAGGACACGGCCCACACUCCUAGGGGAGGGAGCAGUGGCGGAUUCUGGACGAUGGCAGGAACGCUGAUCCAGGCACGCCGCGUGUGUGAAGGAGGCCGUUUGGUUGUGAAGCACUUUAAGCGAGGAGGAGGCUACCGAGAUUAAUACUCUUGGAUAGUGGACGUUACUCGCAGAAUAAGCACCGGCUAACUCUGUG
rnacentral:rRNA from 1 species